UCCCCCUCUCCCAGCGAUCUGGGGGCUUGGGGUUUAUGUCUCCCCCUCUCCCAGCGAUCUGGGGGCUUGGGGUUUAUAUCUCCCCCUCUCCCAGCGAUCUGGGGGCUUGGGGUUUAUGUCUCCCCCUCUCCCAGCGAUCUGGGGGCUUGGGGUUUAUAUCUCCCCCUCUCCCAGCGAUCUGGGGGCUUGGGGUUUAUGUCUCCCCCUCUCCCAGCGAUCUGGGGGCUUGAAGGCCAGCCUGGGGGCUUUUUAUCUCCCCCUCUCCCAGCGAUCUGGGGGCUUGAUGGCCAGCCGGGGUUUAUGUCUCCCCCUCUCCCAGCGAUCUGGGGGCUUGAUGGCCAGCCGGGGUUUAUGUCUCCCCCUCUCCCAGCGAUCUGGGGGCUUGAAGGCCAGCCGGGGUUUAUAUCUCCCCCUCUCCCAGCGAUCUGGGGGCUUGAUGGCCAGCCGGGGUUUAUGUCUCCCCUCUCCCAGCGAUCUGGGGGCUUGAUGGCCAGCCGGGGUUUAUGUCUCCCCCUCUCCCAGCGAUCUGGGGGCUUGAUGGCCAGCCGGGGUUUAUGUCUCCCCCUCUCCCAGAGAUCUGGAGGCUUGAUGGCCAGCCGGGGUUUAUGUCUCCCCCUCUCCCAGCGAUCUGGAGGUUUGAUGGCCAGCCGGGGUUUAUGUCUCCCCCUCUCCCAGCGAUCUGGGGGCUUGAUGGCCAGCCGGGGUUUAUGUCUCCCCUCUCCCAGCGAUCUGGGGGUUUGAUGGCCAGCCGGGGUUUAUGUCUCCCCCUCUCCCAGCGAUCUGGGGGCUUGAUGGCCAGCCGGGGUUUAUGUCUCCCCCUCUCCCAGCGAUCUGGAGUUUCUUUAGAAAUGGUAUUAUUUUACUCUGUGUGUGUUUAGGUCCCUCUGGGUAGGGCUGGGGUGAAAGGUCCAUUAAAUCCUGGUUUGGCCUCUAGAGCCCUAAUGUCUGACCUGCGCUGAGCUCUGUCGACUCUAGAAGUAGCUAGAAGGGAGCUGGAUAAUCCCUCAAACUUACAGAACAGAAGAGCGUUGACCUAGGCUCUUUCUUUCUUUCCAACAAUCAAUAUCCCCUGUAUACUCUCUCUCUCUCUCUCUCUCUCUCUCUCUCUCUCUCUCUCUCUCUCUCUCUCUCUCUCUCUCUCUCUCUCUCUCUCUCUCUCUCUCUCUCUCUCUCUCACACUCUCUCGUUAAUCCAACUAGCACACAGGAAAAACAGUCACCAGUGUCACUGUCAGUUUAUACCAAAUAUAACAUUGUUACUAGAUUUCUAGAGAACUGGUGUCACAACUAAAGCUAAAAAGCCAAUCAGACAGGUGUCGUGGAUGCUGUUUGUUAGAGCUUUCAGACUCCUGGAGAUUCAGACCACUCGUACAAAAAACCAAAACCUAUUCCGGAACCUGUCAGGUGUGACUUCUCAGUAGUUCUCUAGAAGGUUCUCGAUCAUUCUGUAGAACGUUCUACAGUUGUUCUGUAUUCUGGAACUUCUUUCAGAAAUAAUGUCCAAAAGCCAGUCAUUUGCUGUGAAAGAUGAUUGUUCAUUUCCCCAGAUAUUAUUUGUUGUUUUGGUGACACUGGCUCCGACUUCUGACGUAGUUUUUUUUAGAUCUACAGGAGAUAUUACCACAGGCUGUGUCCCAAAUCACAUUCCCUACCUAUUUGCUCUACUCUAUAAAGUAUAAUAGGGAAUAGGGUCCCGUUUGGGACGUUGGAACAGAGAGCUGAUGACGAGAUAGGUAUCGGAGAUGUUAUUAUCCCUGAGAAGAGAUGAUUAAAACUAUAUGAUAGGUAUACAAAGGAAAAGAUUGUAACGUUUGAUAAAUGUGUUAAAAUUGUUCAACUGAAAAUAGGUCUAAAGUUUGCUGUAUUUAUAAUGGCUGUAUUAAGUCGUGCCUGGUUCUCUUAUUCUUUCUUCAAACACAUUAUAUAUGCUUUCUUUUUACUUGACUACAAUUUAUUUUGCGUUCUGUAUGUAUGUUUUCACUGUAUUGUAAAAUGAUCAGAUAUCACAAUAAACUUUAAAUGGCAUUCGACGGGGGAUUGUGUGUGUUCCAUAAUUCCUUCAACAGCUACAUGAGAACAGGCAGUAGGUCACACUGUAACAGAAAACUACUGUCAUUUUCCCCCUUUUUUAAAUUGUUUUUAUUUUAAUUUCAC
ensembl:lncRNA